UACGGGGGGGGCAAGCGUUGUUCGGAAUUACUGGGCGUAAAGGGCUCGUAGGCGGCCAGCUAAGUCAGACGUGAAAUCCCUCGGCUUAACCGGGGAACUGCGUCUGAUACUGGAUGGCUUGAGAUUGGGAGAGGGAUGCGGAAUUCCAGGUGUAGCGGUGAAAUGCGUAGAUAUCUGGAGGAACACCGGUGGCGAAGGCGACAUCCUGGACCAACACUGACGCUGAGGAGCGAAAGCCAGGGGAGCAAACGGG
rnacentral:rRNA from 1 species